rnacentral:rRNA from 1 species
GACGGAGGAUGCAAGCGUUAUCCGGAAUUAUUGGGCGUAAAGCGUCCGUAGGCGGUUUCAAAAGUCUGUUGUUAAAGCCCACAGCUCAACUGUGGAUCGGCAAUGGAAACUGUGAGACUAGAGAGUGGUAGGGGUAGAGGGAAUUCCUAGUGUAGCGGUGAAAUGCGUAGAUAUUAGGAAGAACACCAGUGGCGAAGGCGGCCUGCUGGGCAGUUGCUGACGCUGAGGCGCGACAGCGUGGGGAGCAAACAGG